rnacentral:rRNA from 1 species
AUUGAACGCUGGCGGCAGGCCUAACACAUGCAAGUCGAGCGGAUGAAGGGAGCUUGCUCCUGGAUUCAGCGGCGGACGGGUGAGUAAUGCCUAGGAAUCUGCCUGGUAGUGGGGGAUAACGUCCGGAAACGGGCGCUAAUACCGCAUACGUCCUGAGGGAGAAAGUGGGGGAUCUUCGGACCUCACGCUAUCAGAUGAGCCUAGGUGGGAUUAGCUAGUUGGUGGGGUAAAGGCCUACCAAGGCGACGGUCCGUAACUGGUCUGAGAGGAUGAUCAGUCACACUGGAGCUGAGACACGGUCCAGACUCCUACGGGAGGCAGCAGUGGGGAAUAUUGGACAAUGGGCGAAAGCCUGAUCCAGCCAUGCCGCGUGUGUGAAGAAGGUCUUCGGAUUGUAAAGCACUUUAAGUUGGGAGGAAGGGCAGUAAGUUAAUACCUUGCUGUUUUGACGUUACCAACAGAAUAAGCACCGGCUAACUUCGUG